CCCAUGCCCUUAAAAAUAAGUCCCUGGACUUGUUUUGGGUUAACUAUCCCCUACCCUGUUGCCCUUAAAUACAAGUGUCUGGAGUCUCACUCUCCCUUUCAUCUGACCCCUAGGCUUCUCCUCCAAGACCUCUGAGCUCUUAAAUUCCAGUUCCUGGAUGUUGCCUUAUUCCACCCAAGCUGCUCCAAAGCUCAGUCCCAGGUCAACUAUAUAUAAAGCUGUUGCUAUGUGGGUCGAGGGGAUAAUUAAAGAAAACGAAGAAGAAAACAUCAGCAAGCCAGUAUAACCUUUACCUUUUAUUCUAUCCAUAUUGUGAUUGGGUAUGGUGAUUGGGUAUAGUGAUGGGGUAUAGUGAUUGGGUUUAGUGUGGGUAUAGUGAUGGGGUAUAGUGAUGGGGUAUAGUGAUGGGGUAUAGUGAUUGGGUUUAGUGAUUGGGUAUAGUCAUGUCUAGUUUAUAGGUAAUGUUCUACUGACUUGCUAGUGUUCAAUUUUUAAACAAUUUAAAAAAAAAAGUAAGUAAUGUAUUCAUGUUGCAAUCAGACGCUAUAAUAUUGUUAAAUUCAAGUUGUUGGAAGUCCAAAUCUCAGUGAAACAUUAAAAUUUUCAAACUAAUUUAGUUAUUGUGAGCUAAACUUUGAUAUCUAAAUUUAGGAAAUGGAAUGGUUAUUUAUUCAAAUUUGGAAAAAAUUAACAGUUAUUUAUUUU
rnacentral:lncRNA from 1 species